UGCCCGGAUGAGCCUGGCACUUUGCCUCGGGGGCGGUGCUGGGGGUGUGCUGGGACACACAUCCCCCACUCCGUGCCCUAUGGGACACCUCUAAGGGACACUCCCACCCACGGGACCAUCCCCAACACUUGAGGGACCCCUUCCAGUUACUUCCCCCCCUCAGCACCCAAGAGACCCCCUUAAGGGCCCUCAUCACCCAUGGAACCAUUGAUAGCACCCAAGGGAACCCCCUCAAAGGUGAGGACUUCCUCACCCAUGAGACCUUCCCCAGCACCCAACAGACCCCUUCCAGCACCAUGGGACCUCCCCAAGGGACACUCCCCCCCCCAAGAGACCCUCCCUCAAGGGACCUCCCACCCAUGCCACCCCUCAUGGCUGCCCCCAUGCCCCCCCAAGUGACCCUCACCAAUGAAAGGACCCCCCCCAGCAGCCAAGGGAUACCCCCACCCUCAGGCAUGCUCCUGACAGCACCUGUAUGACACCCAUGGGACCCUCCCAAGAGACCCCUCUAGGACCCAGGGAACCCCUCCCAUGGAACUCCCCCACCCAUGACUCUGCCCAGGGCCAUCCCCACCUAUGAGGACCCCCUCAAGGGACCUCCUCCCAGCACCCAUGGGUCCCAUGUGGCCAUGGGAAGGUGACAGGGGCGGUUACCUGCCGCAGAUCCUGCUCCAGCUGCAGCGCCCGGGUGACGAUGGGACCCCGCACGGCGUAUUCCAGGCGCCGGAUCGCGGGGUUCAUGGUGCCAAGCGUCAGAACGGGCCCCCCCCGGGAGCCCCCGGUUCUGCCCAGCUCGCCCAGGUCACUCAGCUGCUGCGAUCCGGUCGCCGCCGCCAUGGCCAUCGCUCGUCCCGUCGGCAUUCUGGAGGGUCGGAGAGUUUGCAGUGCCCGCAUCACACAGACACCCCCCCGAGAAAGAAACCACCGGCCACCGGGCACCGAAUGGGCACGGAAGAGGCAGAGCGAUACCAACACCCCCACACACACCCCGCUUGCAUGGCACCGCCCAGGGCAAUGGGCACCGGGAACGCCCCAGGGGCAGCGGAGGUUGGCACCAGGGCAGCGAACACCGGGGCGAUGGGAACUGAAACCAGUACCCGGUAUUGGCUCCGAGCACUGGCACCGGGGGCAACGGGCACUAAAACUAGUACUGGGUCCUGG